rnacentral:lncRNA from 1 species
AAAUUGAGCAAUUCACAAUAGAAUGGAUAUGGCAGCAGCUUCAAAAUUUACAAAAUAGUUGAUUAUGAUCACAUGCUACACCCUCGACUUGCUGAUGGGGCAGCGUGGAUUCAACCAGGAAUGUCCUCCUUCCUGAAUGGAUGAUGAUGGGGCAAACACAGCGUUCCAGUCACUAGACAUGUACCUCCUAUGCAGUUGCAGGGAAGAAAUGCAUGAGAAAUUUGCAAAGAGGGAAAGCCAAGAGCACCUGUAGUGUUCUGGAGGUAGCUGCACACUGACAUCCCUUCACACCCAGUGGCCUCUUGUGAAAGAGAAGGCAAUGCAAUGCCGUCGGAGACAAAGCCCAGCUGAAGAGAGGCAGUGCACUUGCUGAUGACUUAAUGUUGCUGCUGACAUCCUUACAAAGGGAAGGAUAAUGAGCAGACUACAUCUCCUCUCCCAACCCAGCCUUCUGAGCCCUAAAUGAAGCACCAGAUACUAAAUGAAAAGCAGGCAGAAAUCAGCAAUGCAUCCAGCUUCUGUUGAGGGAGAUUCAGUGGAAUGAUUUUUAUAUUUUCAUGAAGAAAUUACAGUUGAAUAUUAAAACCUGGUAUUUCAGUUUAUCUGGUCUGACUCCCAUCUAACUAACCAACAUAGCCAUGGAUUUUGUAAAACUCACUUAGCAAAUCAUCUUAAUUGGUACCAAAAAAGUGAUGGCUAUGGAAAUAUUGGC